AGCCUCCAUGCCUUCCUCCAAUGGGAUGGUAAGCUCCACCAGAAUGGUCCUGCGUGGUUCUGACCACAUGAUCAGAUCGGGCCAGAGCGAAGGAAGACAUAUUUUAUCUCAAUGCAGUUGUGGCAAGCUCCCUCUUCUUGGGCAGUUUAAAAAGUCUCCAUAAGAUGAAGUUCCCAGUAGAGAGUGUUUGGCUGUGUCCUGUGAAGUUUACUGCAUAUAGGAUUCCUGUGGUCUGUUUCCAUAAUAUUUGAUUUCUGAUGAUUCAGUACUUUGACAGAUUUUCUCUUUU